GACGAACGCUGGCGGCGUGCCUAAUACAUGCAAGUCGAACGCUGAAGGAGGAGCUUGCUCUUCUGGAUGAGUUGCGAACGGGUGAGUAACGCGUAGGUAACCUGCCUGGUAGCGGGGGAUAACUAUUGGAAACGAUAGCUAAUACCGCAUAACAGUAGAUGUUGCAUGACAUUUGCUUAAAAGGUGCAAUUGCACCACUACCAGAUGGACCUGCGUUGUAUUAGCUAGUUGGUGGGGUAACGGCUCACCAAGGCGACGAUACAUAGCCGACCUGAGAGGGUGAUCGGCCACACUGGGACUGAGACACGGCCCAGACUCCUACGGGAGGCAGCAGUAGGGAAUCUUCGGCAAUGGACGGAAGUCUGACCGAGCAACGCCGCGUGAGUGAAGAAGGUUGUCGGAUCGUAAAGCUCUGUUGUAAGAGAAGAACGAGUGUGAGAGUGGAAAGUUCACACUGUGACGGUAGCUUACCAGAAAGGGACGGCUAACUACGUG
rnacentral:rRNA from 1 species